GAUGAACGCUAGCUACAGGCUUAACACAUGCAAGUCGAGGGGAAACGACAUCGAAAGCUUGCUUUUGAUGGGCGUCGACCGGCGCACGGGUGAGUAACGCGUAUCCAACCUGCCCACCACUUGGGGAUAACCUUGCGAAAGUAAGACUAAUACCCAAUGAUAUCUCUAGAAGACAUCUGAAAGAGAUUAAAGAUUUAUCGGUGAUGGAUGGGGAUGCGUCUGAUUAGCUUGUUGGCGGGGUAACGGCCCACCAAGGCUACGAUCAGUAGGGGUCCUGAGAGGAAGGUCCCCCACAUUGGAACUGAGACACGGUCCAAACUCCUACGGGAGGCAGCAGUGAGGAAUAUUGGUCAAUGGGCGAGAGCCUGAACCAGCCAAGUAGCGUGCAGGAUGACGGCCCUAUGGGUUGUAAACUGCUUUUAUAAGGGAAUAAAGUGAGCCUCGUGAGGCUUUUUGCAUGUACCUUAUGAAUAAGGACCGGCUAAUUCCGUGCCAGCCGCCGCGGUAA
rnacentral:rRNA from 1 species